AAUCAUUGGGCUUAACCCAAUGGCUGUGCCCGAUACUUGCGUGCUAGAGUGCGGGAGAGGCAAUCGGAAUUCUCGGUGUAGCGGUGAAAUGCGUAGAUAUCGAGAGGAACUCCAGUGACGAAGGUGGGUUGCUGGACCGACACUGACGCUGAGGCGCGAAAGCUAGGGGAGCAAACGGGAUUAGAUACCCCGGUAGUCCUAGCCCUAAACGAUGAAUACUUGGUGUGCGAGUUUUUAGUACUCGCGUGUCGUAGCUAACGCGAUAAGUAUUCCGCCUGGGGAGUAUGGUCGCAAGAUUGAAACUCAAAGGAAUUGACGGGGACCCGCACAAGCGGUGGAGCAUGUGGUUUAAUUCGACGCAACGCGAAGAACCUUACCUGAGUUCAAGAUACGAUGAAGCGCCGGAAUCGGCGUGGCCGCAAGGAGUCGUAUCAGGUGCUGCAUGACUGUCGUCAGCUCGUGUCGUGAGAUGUUGGGUUAAGUCCCGCAACGAGCGCAACCCUCGUCACCAGUUGCUAGCAGUUCGGCUGAGUACUUUGGUGAG
rnacentral:rRNA from 1 species